ACGGGCUUCGGUCUGGUGGCGAGUGGCGAACGGGUGAGUAAAGUAUCGGAACGUACCUUUCAGUGGGGGAUAACGUAGCGAAAGUUACGCUAAUACCGCAUAUUCUGUGAGCAGGAAAGCAGGGGAUCGCAAGACCUUGCGCCGAUUGAGCGGCCGAUAUCAGAUUAGCUAGUUGGUGGGGUAAAGGCCUACCAAGGCGACGAUCUGUAGCGGGUCUGAGAGGAUGAUCCGCCACACUGGAACUGAGACACGGUCCAGACUCCUACGGGAGGCAGCAGUGGGGAAUUUUGGACAAUGGGGGCAACCCUGAUCCAGCCAUGCCGCGUGAGUGAAGAAGGCCUUCGGGUUGUAAAGCUCUUUCGGCCGGGAAGAAAUCGCAUGGGCUAAUACCCUGUGUGGAUGACGGUACCGGAAUAAGAAGCACCGGCUAACUACGUGCCAGCAGCCGCGGUAAUACGUAGGGUGCGAGCGUUAAUCGGAAUUACUGGGCGUAAAGCGUGCGCAGGCGGUUUAGUAAGACAGGCGUGAAAUCCCCGGGCUCAACCUGGGAACUGCGCUUGUGACUGCUAAGCUAGAGUAC
rnacentral:rRNA from 1 species